AGGAGGAGGGGACCAGCUUCUCUUGCGCGGCUCCUCUUGUAAGAGUCACAGAUGAACCAAGCCAGAGAGCCUCCGUCCCCAGGGAACAGUCCGUGUGAGGGUCACACAGGUCGUCCUGGGUUUCUAAGUCUCAGGAACUGUCAUCCCGGCUAGAAUGUUCUGUGCUACCAGAGGCUCUCGCAGGCUCUCGUUUCCCUCACCAUGUCAUCUAGGAGCCACGAGGGCAGGCGUCUCAGGAGGAAGCAAACAUGGAGAGAGAGGAGGAGACAUGGGUGCCAUGGGAGGAAGGCUGCCCGCCCCGCCCUGGCCCUUGACCAUGAGCGGCUGCCCUGUCUGCGCCUGGAGGGGUCAGGCCCCACUUCCUACCAAAGAAACGGGAUUGGUGGGAAGAGAGAACAAGUCAGAGAUGUUUGUUUCAGGGCAGGCGUCUCAGGAGGAAGCAAACAUGGAGAGAGAGGAGGAGACACGGGUGCCAUGGGAGGAAGCUGCCCGCCCCGCCCUGGCCCUUGACCAUGAGCAGCUGCCCUGCCUGCGCCUGGAGGGGUCAGGCCCCACUUCCUCUCACUGCACACAGCCCAAAUGGAGCUGGACAAUGGAAUGCGGGGCUUGUCCUCUAAAAGGAGAAAUAACCACAGCUGCCAAGGUCCCGUGGCUGGGAUGCGACAACACAGGCGGGCUGGCUCCAGAAACACGGACGUGACACCAGGCCGGAGAAUCUUACAUCUUGUUCCCCUGAAGUCACACCACUUGGUGCAUCAAAUCAAAGAGAGCGGUCAUCUCUAGAAAGGACGAUCUGCCUUAAGGUGGAAGAGAGGGCAUUUUCCCAGGUUCGUGGGGACAAAGCCCUGUGGACAGCAGUCACGGGCAUUUCUGUUUUCUCUUCUGGAGAAACUGGGCCAGGGCCACUCCACCACCUGGUCAUCAGAGUCAGAACCAGAACAUGACUUUUCCUCCCCCACCUGCUGUUUUUACCCAGAGAACCUCGGUCUGAAUGACACAGAGCCAGGGCUGGCCCAUUGCGCUAGAACAGUGACCGGUCAGCCUGCCUGAAACAGGUAAUAGGCUAGCAGGCGAGGAGGUUGCCUGGAACAGUCUUGUCCUCUGUGUCCCUACAAACUCACCCCAUCAGUUUAUUCCCAUGAGGUGUGGCGCGUGUAGACCCUACAGCAUGGUGUUUCAUCCACGUGAGGAAUCAUAAACUCUACACCCCAAGGGUACUUGGGGAGUCCAUCUUUGAGCUGCAUUCUUGGGAUAUCAACCUGCCUGAUGACCAAAGAGAUUCACCUAAUCUUGUUUUAAACAAGAUGGAAAUCUGCACCUCGCUCGUGGAAAAGUUCAAAUGCACAGGCAGAAAUAGCACGGCGGCUGCACCACCAUCUGGGAUCCAGGCCCCGGUAAACCAUCCGCUCUGCCAUCCUCAACAUGUCCUUCCAUCUCGUGGCCCAGAAUGGCUACUCCAGUACCUGCCAUCAUGUUUACAUCCCAGCCAUGAGAAGGGUGGCGUGAUGAAAGGCAAGGACACCCCACCUCCUCUGAAGGACAGGACUCAAAAUUUGCACACACCUCACUUUCGUACACAUUCCAUUAGCCAGAACUUUGUCACAUAGUCACAGCCAGCUAAGAGCAAGGCUACGAACCUAGCAACGUAAGCACUACGUGCUGUGUGAUGAUGACGGUACCAUGUAGCAAAUGCACACUGGGGCACCGACCAGCAAUUCUGCCACAGGAGUAAUGCAUUUGAGCUGCUCAGAACUAAGAGGAAAGUCUUUUUCUCCAGCGCUAGACUUUCAGGUAUAAACCAGACCCAGUUUUCUCUGCUCAGAAGUGCACGCUGGGCCUGGGCCACUAGGCUGCUGUCCGCCCCUCGGCCUCUCUCGGG
rnacentral:lncRNA from 1 species